AAGAGAUCAUUUUUUGUUAUUAUUUUAAUCUUUUUCAAAUAAUCUUUGCUGUCAUGGAAACGCACAUUGUUGUAAUAAUUUUACCAUAGUAUGACAUAAUACCAUAUAUUGUAUUGUUAACAAAGCAACGCUAUCAACUGAACUUCGCUCAGAAUCAUUUUUUCGUUAGCAAUUGUUUAUCGUUAAUUACAGAUGUACAUUAAAUUACCAUCUACCUUUCCAACUUCCCACUUAAAACAGUGUCUGCACUCACGUGCGAAGUAUGUCCGUCCUUUUUAGUUAUAGUAAAAUAAUUUUAAUAUGUGACUCCCUUAAAAUAGAAGAAAAAACACAUUGAACUAUACAAAAUACGUAAUUGCAUUCUUUUUUUUUGGUCUAAUCGUACUCAUCAAAUCGCUCUGUAUAACAAUAUGAUAUUAACAUUUUUUUUUCAACCAAGCGGGUUUUCGUCCAAAAAAAUAUUACAAUUAGCAUUUAAUAAAUAAUACAUACCAUGCAAAUUAUUAUUAUAAUAUCUGUUAUGUGCGUGUCGUAUAUUAUAAUGGCAUACAAAAGUUAACGUUACGAUGGCCACAGUAUAAUAAUUAACGAACUAACGUGCCGUCCCCGUCGGAGUUCAUCAACACGAAAUUUUGCGCAAAACAAAAAAGUUUUUUUUUUUAUAUACAUGAUAUCUGACGCGUUCGGUACACCGUAUAAAACGAAUGUAUUAAAAACCGUCCAUGAAAAAAAACGUAAGGAUCAAUAAAAUUACAGAAUACGGAUGGGAAAACUUCGAACGCGGUCCGAACGAAUACGUAAAAUAAUAUUAUUAUGAAAAUACAAUCGGAUCGAAUAUAAAACGUCACUUAUUGUUAUAAGUAUU